GUGGGAGUGGCAGAGGAAAUGCAGCAGACUUAAGUUCUGAAGAUAAGAGGCUUCCUCUUUUCCCACU
rnacentral:tRNA from 1 species